UGGAAAAAUUUUACCUUAGUGCUAUUUCUUAUCCAACACACUCAUCAUGUGCUGGUUAGAUGCAAUACUGAACAUUCUUACACAAACAAAUAAUCUCUUGUGCCCUGACGUACAUCAAGUCUAAACAUCUGAUGUUCCAUUUGACUGACUAAUAAUUUAUGAUAUAUGUUUCUCUUUUACACCCGGACUCUGGCUCCUUCCUAUCUGACUCCCCACCAGACCCAAGGCUAUUAAAGCGAAUGCAUCUUGUCUUGGAAGCUCGGUGUUCCUUCCUUUGGAUAACAAGACAUGAUGAUGCAGAAGUGAGAAAGCAAACAUUCUCACUCACAGCAAGAUAAGGUGGCACAAACAAUGUCAUUGCUGCAGAGAGACAUUCCACCAGAGCCAGAGAAAGGGGUUAAAAGGGGUUUUUGGUUUGUUGAUGUGCACGAUCAACAUCCAUGCUUUUUAUUUGCUUUCCCCAUUAUUUUUAUUUUCUUUAUUAUUUCAAUAAAUCGCACAAAAGGACAACUCUCUCUCAUCUACUUCUUUAUGGAAAAUUUCCACCACAGAAAUUGGCGUCUACGAACAGGAUCCCGCGGCAGGUCGUCUGGACGGUGUGACCAGGGACGAUAGUCCUGAGGACUAGGGUCGCUCAGCCUCCAAACCUCUACAGCUGUUCUGAGUGGGAGGACUGCUCACCCGUCUGGAUCGCCUCUGACGAGAUCCAACGAACUCAAAAUCCAACCUCUACUCGGCCCGGUGAGAGAGAUUCCGUUUUGUUGCGAUUUAUCGAAGAAAAAAAAAAAAAGAAAGAAAACGGGUUUGAAAUUGGUUUCAGGUAUUCGGGUUUACUUGGUUCUGAUCAUUUGGUUUAAGGAAAGUAAGUGAAAUAACAAUUAAUUCUAAAACAUCCCCAACUAGACUAAAACAACGACAAAAGAAAAUAUAACUAGGACUAUAGAUGAUAAUAUUUCUAAAACGACUAUUUGGCUAAAAACAUCCAAAAUAUAAUAUUAGGGGAAAAAAAUUAUAAUUUUAAAAUUUAAUAUUUGAGUAAAAAAUUAAUUAGGUCAAAGUCUGCCCUGGUGGCCGAGACGGUGGUUUCUAAGGGUUGGCUCGUGGAACGGGCUUGUUUUGUCUGUACUGAGGAUACAGACCAGUGUGCAGAUCUGAGCGCAGUCCAAAGGGUGUGGACAAGAAAUAAAAGACGGCUUCUGAAAUACGGAGCGCGUUUGCAGGGGGAAGUGUUUUUGAGAUACGAGGGACCCGGGUCUUAGAGGGGCCUGACGGUGAGGGAGCACUUCUGAGAACCCUGUCGCUGAUCUGAGCGGUUCCCUGUCUACGGAGACGUCCGUGGAAGAGAAAUUUCGAAAAAAGGUUCCGGCCGGAACACAAAAAAGUCUAAGGCAGAAAAACGCCGGGACUCUGAAAGAUGGGUUUGGGGCGAUCUAAGUCUCCACCACCAGACUGCAGCAUUUCAAAAGUAAAAGUAAUUAAAAGUAAAAAGUAAAUAUGGUUAUUAGUGCGUUUCAUGUUUCCAUGAGUGGGAAACUGGUUAUGGGUUCAAAAGGAGAAUCGCUUGUGUAAAAGACAUAUGCACCUUAAAAAGAAAAAAUUAGUUACAAAAGAUGAGAUUUGAAAAAGCAAAACUAUCAAAACUAAAGCCCUAAAAGAAACAAAAGAGUGAUGAGAGUACCAGAAAAAAAAAAGGAGAUAACAACUCUGGGGAAGAAUUGUUUGCACUCUGCCACACACACACAUACCACACACACACAUGUCAUGCCAAGAGCAAAUGCUCCCAUUGUUUCUGCUCUCUAUCCUAAUGCAGAACUGAGCGCGAUGAGGGUGAAUCCGGAUCUGGACUCCUUUCCCACCAUCAGCAGAAGAACUGAAGGAGAAGAAGCGCCAACCAACAACCAGAACAGGGUGGAAGCUCUGACACCACAGCAGCUGGAGGACACAGACCACAGCAUGGACGCCUCACAGACUCCCACAACAACUGCAGCCAUCACGUUCUGGGCUCAUCAGACUCACCAGCUACUACAAGCGUGUGUGUCUGACACAGACACCUGCUCAUGACAAUCAGCAAAGGAAAACAAGGACAGAGCAACAGCAGAGAAGACAUGCUCUGACACAGACACUGGUUGAAACAACGGGAGAGGCUUCAGACGUGAUUGGCCCAAUAGAGCUGCAUCCGAAGAUCCAGGAAAGGUCUGUCAACAACUGUCCCAUUGAAAGGCUUCACCCACUGGCGCUCACAUGAGACUGAUGGUUGGGGAAGGAGGAAGGUGACGGUUCCUUUUCACGUGACGUACAAGACGUUCCACACGUCCCUCUGUGAAAACAUGAUGGAGACAGAUGCAGGACGUGGGUCCUUUCGUGAACAGAUGUCAACGGGGUGGAGACUGGUGAACGACUUCCGACCCCAUGUGACGUAUUUACCCACACUACAUGCUUUUGUUUUUUUUUUUAUUUUUCAGAGGACGCUCUGACCCAACACUCAGCCUUACAGGAAGCCCUGCUUCCCUGUGGCUCACACACAGACAUGAUGUAGGUUCGAUCAGAGGAUGUGAACCAGUGGUCAUCACACCUGAAUCUGACCACAGACCAUGUAAACAACAUCCAUCCAUCCAUCCAUUUUCUGAACCGCUUACUCCCUAGUGCGGGGUCACGGGGGUGUUGGAGCCUAUCCCAGCUGUCUACGGGCGAGAGGCAGGGUACACCCUGGACGGGUCGCCAGUCCAUCGCAGGGCAACACAUAGACAGACAACCAUUCACUCACACACUCACACCUACGGGCAAUGGAGAGAGGCCAAUCAACCUAAUGCACGUCUUUGGACUGUGGGAGGAAGCCGGAGAACCCGGAGAGAACCCACGCAAACACGGGGAGAACGUGCAAACUCCACACAGAAAGGCACGAGGUCCGCCUCCGGGAAUCGAACCCAGAACCUUCUCGCUGUGAGGCGACAGUGCUACCCACCGCACCACCGUGCCGCCCUCAUGUAAACAACACCACCCUCUUAAAGGAAGCCAUAGAUGGCGUUACUGCAGACACCACUAAGCUACUGAAACAUUGGAUGCUACAGGCCACAAAGAGAGCCUGUCUAAAUUACAGUUUAUUCAGACAAAAUUAUUUUCUGGGUCAUUGUAAUUACAGCUGAUGGCAAAUCCAUCUCACCCAACAGAGUUAAAGCAAUUUGAAACCUGCCUAAACCGUGCACGUUAAAACAGCUGAUAUCUUUUCUAGGUCUUUGUUCUUAUUGUAGGAACUUCAUUCCUAACUUUAAUGUCUUUGAGGCCCCACUCAGGGUUCUGAUGCAGACGUCUUCAUCGUCCACUUCUUGUCUCACGUGGACGUCUGAGGCUGAACAACGUUCACUGACCUCAUGCUUCCUCUUCAGUCGGCUCCUACUUUGGGUCUUCCUGAUCUGACCCUACGCGACCUUUCACUCAAACAGUGGAUGAGAAAUCAGGUUGUACGACUUCUGUUCUUUUGUCCUCAUACUGUGUCUUUGAUUCUUUUGGAAUAGAUCACAUCUUUCUACAGCCCGAUGGCUUAGAUGCAACACCACCUUGCUCAACAUGCUGAACGUUACUAUCAAGAGGCCGUCUUGAAGUCUAGUGCUUUGCUAAGACACUACUCUGCUCAGGCUGCAGAGUUGAUCGCGUUGACUGAAGCUAGUAAACUAGCAGAAGGAAAGUCUGUUACCAUCUACACAGACUCUACAGAUGCUCUGUGGAAGCAUAGGAAGUUUUUGAAGUCCGAUUGCAAACCUAUUUUACAUCAUGAUUAGGUUCUGCUUUGCUGGACGCUGUCCUGCUGCCUACAGCUAAUGCUGUUUGUAACCGUCCGACUCACAACAUCAGUGACGACUUUGUUUGUGCCGACAUGCAGCUGGUCAUGUCACUGCCCAACAACCCCUCCCUCUCCUGAUCCUCAUUUCCCUCUCCAACUCUCUCUACCUUUCCUCCUCUCUCUCCCUGUGCUUUAAACAUUUUCUACCUCACAGGAACGCAGACUCUGGCAGACGAAUAGUUCCACCUGUAGCCAUGGUCUGGUUUGGGCCUGAUGACAAGCUGUGCCGCCCAAACACCUUUUCCCCAUAAUUCAGAUUUCCCAACAGGUGAAAGCAGGUGACAAGACCAUCACACCAUCCAACCAGGGCACUGGGCGAUCGUUAAGGACUUCAGGAGGAAGCAUUGGGACUCCAAACGGUGGCAAGGUCCCUUCCAGGUCCUUCUGACGACCCACACGGCUGUGAAGAUUGCAGAAAGAGCAACUUGGAUCCACUCCAUAAAGGAAGGUCCCGGAUCCGACAGACGACCCUCCAUCUACAUCUCACGGAGAAUUCACCACUAAAGAAAAGAAUUAAGAAGGACGACCCUCGCUGUGCUCACACACGCACUGAGGCGAGGCUGCGUUGACCAUUCAGCUAAAGGUGUGAGCCAAGCGCCGCCUGAAGCUGCACCGGUGAAUCACACUAUCAGACCAUACAUCUACACACACGUUCCUGAGAAAACACACACACGAGCAGCCUUGAGUUGCCGACGCUGGACGACGUGUAGACUCUUCACAUCACAGGAGUGACAGUGACUCAGACGACAUUGGGAGGAAACCUGGCGGUGAUAAUGAAUCCCAAGUGUCUCUGUGAUCAGCUGAUCACAACCUGAAGAACUCCAACGAACUGUCAAUACUUCAACACACAGGUUGGAAACAAUCUAACGCUACUGUUCAACAGGAUGAAGCAGAUUGUUACAAGACAUCAAUUGUAACCAUGCUUUGUUAAACUUACAUGGAUUAUUGCCUUGAUCAUAUGAUGUUUCCAUGUAACUUUACACAAUACUUUUGAAUGAGAAAAUUCACAACAACAACAACACUGAGUUAAAUAUCCUAAAGUUGACUUGGUGUUUAAUUUGCUCACAAUCACUUUAUUCACUGCUACAAUUAGUUUUAUCCUUCAUAUUUCUAUGUUCUAUCCUACAGAUGAAAGACAACACAAGCGGCAAUAUGCAUCAUCAUUCUGGUUAAAUCCCUGAUUCUCUUAUUCAUUCUAGACCCAAAUCUACAAUUAAAGAUCUGAAAGUUAUCCCACUGGUUAGAGGUCUCAUCAUGCGUGCGACCUCAGCAACACUCUCGUAUCAAAUGGCACAAUGAACUAUGUUCAAAAACCCCAACUCUAAUUCACGUAAUGACUUUGACGAUGGUCUUAGGCUAUCCGAUCACAAAAUAUAAUCUGAUACAAAUAUGAUUAUGGGCUUAUUUUCUUCACAUGCUCAUACAGAGGUUAUUCUUGUUUAACUACCCACCAAAACAGUUCCCAACCUUUGUCCCUAAGUUACUUGCAUUUUAUGUGAAGGUGUAUUUUUGAAUUUUGACUUAAUAGACUUACUGUUUCAUUUGUAAGGGUUGUUACUACAAAAUGCAAUGUUUGAAAAUUUUUAUUAUUUUAGUGUUUGAUUAAUGUGUAAUCAAAAGGGGGGAAUGUAAUGGAAAAAUUUUACCUUAGUGCUAUUUCUUAUCCAACACACUCAUCAUGUGCUGGUUAGAUGCAAUACUGAACAUUCUUACACAAACAAAUAAUCUCUUGUGCCCUGACGUACAUCAAGUCUAAACAUCUGAUGUUCCAUUUGACUGACUAAUAAUUUAUGAUAUAUGUUUGUCUUUUACACACAACUCGGUGUUCCUUCCUUUGGAUAACAAGACAUGACGAUGCAGAAGUGAGAAAGCAAACAUUCUCACUCACAGCGAGAUAAGGUGGCACAAACAAUUCUAUUGCUGCAGAAAGACAUUCCACCAGAGCCAGAGAAAGGGGUUAAAAGGCAGAAGCAACUUGAGGAUAGCGGGCUCUUUGCAUCACACCUUCGUGGUGUGUGCACUGAUCUCCCCAGCUGGUUUUUGGUUUGUUGAUGUGCACGAUCAACAUCCAUGCUUUUUAUUUGCUUUCCCCAUUAUUUUUAUUUUCUUUAUUAUUUCAAUAAAUCGCACAAAAGGACAA